GUGAAAGUCAACUUUGCUCUGUGUGAAGGAGGUGAACUUUGCUCUGUGUGAAGGAGGUGAACUUUGCUCUGUGUGAAGGAGGUGAACUUUGCUCUGUGUGAAGGAGGUGAACUUUGCUCUGUGUGAAGGAGGUGAACUUUGCUCUGUGUGAAGGAGGUGAACUUUGCUCUGUGUGAAGGAGGUGAACUUUGCUCUGUGUGAAGGAGGUGAACUUUGCUCUGUGUGAAGGAGGUGAACUUUGCUCUGUGUGAAGGAGGUGAACUUUGCUCUGUGUGAAGGAGGUGAACUUUGCUCUGUGUGAAGGAGGUGAACUUUGCUCUGUGUGAAGGAGGUGAACUUUGCUCUGUGUGAAGGAGGUGAACUUUGCUCUAUGUGAAGGAGGUGAA